AGGGAAUCUUGGUCAAUGGGCGGAAGCCUGAACCAGCCACGCCGCGUGCAGGAAGAAGGUCCUUAGGAUUGUAAACUGCUUUUAUCAGGGGGUAAAAAGGUGCUGCGGCACAAAUUGAAAGUACCUGAGGAAUAAGCACCGGCUAACUACGUGCCAGCAGCCGCGGUAAUACGUAGGGUGCAAGCGUUGUCCGGAAUUACUGGGUUUAAAGGGUGCGUAGGCGGGUUGAUAAGUCAGCGGUCAAAUCUACAGGCUUAACUUGUGGUUCGCCGUUGAUACUGUCAGUCUUGAGUACAAAUUACGAAGCCGGAAUUCAUGGUGUAGCGGUGAAAUGCAUAGAUACCAUGAGGAACGCCGAUAGCGAAGGCAGGUUUCGGGUUUGUAACUGACGCUGAGGCACGACAGCAUGGGGAUCAAAC
rnacentral:rRNA from 1 species